UUGGGUGGUCCGCCAUCAUUUGAUUGAAAUAGGAUGGCAAGUAGUGUGUGGCAAUUUUUUUUGGAAUUGUAAAAAUGUGUGCGUGCAACUUCAAUUGAAUUUAAGAAUUCUUUAGCAAUACUUUACGGAUUCUAUUCUAUUCCAGUGUUAUCUUGCUAAUAACGGUUUUUGAAUUGAGUUACAUAAAACUAACAGUGUCUUUAAAGUUCCGACUUUUUUACUGAAGUUGUACCAUUACAAAUUAUUCCAAGCAUUAUGUCGUAUCCAUCUCGCGCACCUAUACCACCAUAUAUGAAUCCGACUAUACCACCUCCUCAUAUGAUGCCUCCUAUGCCAUCAGCAAGGAAUUACAGAAGUUCAGCUACGAUCAGCUCCCAACCAACAGUUUACCAACGUAUACCUGAUCCGGUACCUCAGUUUCGUGGUCCAAUCAUUACGGUUUUCGUCGGAAAUAUAAGUGAACGAGUGCCUGAAGCGUUGAUCAAAAGAAUUUUGGCAGCUUGUGGUGUAGUGGUGAAUUGGAAACGAGUUUCUACUUUUGGUUUUUGUGAAUAUGAUGGACCUAAUGCCGGCAUGCGAGCAGUACGCCUUCUUAGUGAACUUGAACUAGAUGGAAAGAAACUUGUGGCUAAAGUUGAUGCAAAAAAUAAACUUCUUUUAGAUAACUACAAAGAAGAAGAAUUGAAAAGUGGAAUCAAUGUUUCCGCGGUAGAUGAAAAGUCGGAAGAUGAUUAUGUUCUAAGUCAAAUGAGAAAAGUACUGGAUGAUCAUAAACAUGAAUUCGAGGAGUUCGAUUCCAAUUCUCGUGGUGACGUAUAUGGAGGAAGAAUAAAUAAAUCUAAAAUUACUCGGCCGGAAGAUAAAAUGACAAAAGUUCUAAACGAAACUAAUCUUGAAGAAGAAAAGAGAAAUUUGAUCAGCAGCGAAAUCGGGAAGUUCAGAAAAAGAGCAGAAGCCGACGAAAACCGAAAAGAAAAGGAAAAGGAAAAAAUGAGAGAAAAAGAGAAAGAUAAGGAAAGAGAAUAUGAAAAAGAAAGAGAAAGAGAAAAGGAACGGAAACCAUCUGAUGUAGUAAAAGACAACAUAAGUGAGGAAGAUUGGGAUGCUGAGGAAAAAAAGAUCCCAGUUGAUAAAGUUGAAAGAAUGUCAAGUCGAAAAGACCGUCACUCUAGUAGCAUGUCACCAAACAGAAAGGAAAAGGAACGAGAAAACAGAAGAAGAAGAAGUAAAUCUCGUUCGCGGGAAAGAGAACGUGACCGGGAAUAUAGAGAACGAGAAAGAGAGAGAGAAAGAGAGCGGGAACGUGAACGGGAACGUGAAAAAGAACGUGAAAGAGAAAGAGAACGUGAACGAGAACGAGAAAGAGAAAAAGAGCGUGAACGAGAACGUGAAAGAGAAAGAGAACGAGAAAGGGAACGCGAAGAAAAAAUCGUUAAAAAUAUUAAGGAUCUACACAGAGAGAAAGAAGUCGAGGAAGAGCUACGAGAGCGUAAGAAAGCUGAAAAAAAAGCUAGAGAAAAGGAAGAAGCUUACCAAGAAAGACUAAAAAACUGGGAAUUACGGGAGAAACGAAAGGCGAAAGAGUACGAAAAGAUACGAAUUAAGGACAAAAUGAAACUAGAAGAACGUGAGAAGGAAGCGAAAAGACUUAAAGAAUUCGUUGAAGAUUAUGAUGACGAAAGAGAUGAUCAUAAAUAUUACAAGGGCCGAGAACUCCAAAGAAGAUUGGGUGAUCGCGUCCGAGAAGCAGAUCUCGAUGCUAAAGAUCGCAAUAAAGAACAAGAAGAAUUGGAAGAAUUACGUAAUAAAAUAUUCAGUGGUGAAUAUGAAAAUCCUUCACAAGAAUAUGAGAGGGCAAAAAAAGAACAUGAAAAAUUAUAUAAACCUCAAAUAUUAAUUGAUGUAAAUUUGGAAAAUUUACAACGAAAGGAACGCGAGAAGGAGAGAAUUAGAGAAAAACUGCAAUCUAUUGAAAGUAAACGACUCUUGCUUGAUGUUAACUCAAAUGAUGAAGGCGAAUUAAAUUCUCUAACAAAAUCAUAUUCCGUAGAAUCAAUUUCUAACGAUGAUGCGAAUUCCCGACCUGAUUCCGCAUCAAAUAUAGAUACCAGCUACAGUCGCCAUGGUUCUGAAUCACGUGAUUUUGUACCUAGCGUGAAUUCUCAGACAAAUAACUCUACACCUUCAAGUACAUUACAGAAUGUAAACAAUUCCAGAUCUCAGAAUACCGAUGUUACAACGCCGCCCACACAAGCUCCCGUUAUAAGUCUUAACUUAGGUGCGAACUCGAAAAAGAAGAAAAUUGAAUCGACAGGUGUUUUCAACGCUGACGAGGAUAUAGACGAUGAAAGUAACUCAAAGAGACGAAAAUUGGUUCCAUUAGAUUAUGAUGACAAUCAAUCGAGAGCUGGGGGAGGUACAUCACAGACGGACCGCCAAAAUUCAAAUGCCGGAAAACCUAUUUCUAAAAAACAUGGAUACAUGAUGAAAAACGACGUCACAUUAAGAGCAUUAUUGACAGGAUUCCUACACAAAAGGAGGAUUUGUUUAAUUAUAAGCUGGAUCGCAAUGAAAUCGAUAACAACCUCAUGGAACGAAAAAUACGCCCAUGGAUAAAUAAAAAGAUCAUUGAGUAUAUCGGGGAGCCCGAACCAACUCUUGUAGAUUUUAUAUGCUCUAAGGUACUUGCUGGAAGUUCACCUCAAAGCAUUUUGGAUGAUGUGCAAAUGGUCCUAGACGAAGAAGCAGAAGUAUUCGUUGUUAAAAUGUGGAGAUUGCUGAUUUAUGAAGUAGAUGCAAAAAAAAUUGGGAUAGGUAAAUAAUUUGUGUAAUAUUAAGUUGCAUAUUUAUAUAAAUAAAAUAAAAUUAAAUCAGAUAUUCAA